UGGGGAAUAUUGCACAAUGGGCGAAAGCCUGAUGCAGCAACGCCGCGUGAGUGAUGAAGGUCUUCGGAUUGUAAAGCUCUGUCUUUUGGGACGAUAAUGACGGUACCAAAGGAGGAAGCCACGGCUAACUACGUGCCAGCAGCCGCGGUAAUACGUAGGUGGCGAGCGUUGUCCGGAUUUACUGGGCGUAAAGGGUGCGUAGGCGGAUGUUUAAGUGAGAUGUGAAAUACCCGGGCUUAACUUGGGUGCUGCAUUUCAAACUGGAUAUCUAGAGUGCAGGAGAGGAGAAUGGAAUUCCUAGUGUAGCGGUGAAAUGCGUAGAGAUUAGGAAGAACACCAGUGGCGAAGACGAUUCUCUGGACUGUAACUGACGCUGAGGCACGAAAGCGUGGGUAGCAAACAGGAUUAGAUACCCUGGUAGUCCACGCCGUAAACGAUGAGUACUAGGUGUAGGAGGUAUCGACCCCUUCUGUGCCGCAGUAAACACAUUAAGUACUCCGCCUGGGAAGUACGAUCGCAAGAUUAAAACUCUAAAGUGAAUUGAC
rnacentral:rRNA from 1 species